rnacentral:rRNA from 1 species
CGGCCUUAGUGGCGCACGGGUGCGUAACGCGUGGGAAUCUGCCCCUCGGUUCGGAUAACAGUUGGAAACGACUGCUAAUACCGGAUGAUGACGUAAGUCCAAAGAUUUAUCGCCGAGGGAUGAGCCCGCGUAGGAUUAGCUAGUUGGUGUGGUAAAGGCGCACCAAGGCGACGAUCCUUAGCUGGUCUGAGAGGAUGAUCAGCCACACUGGGACUGAGACACGGCCCAG